AUGGCAAAGUUAAUAAGGGCGCACGGUGGAUGCCUUGGCACUAAGAGCCGAUGAAGGACGUGACUAACGACGAUAUUCUAGGGGGAGCAGUAAGUACGCAUUGAUCCCUAGGUCUCCGAAUGGGGAAACCCAGCUGCUACUAGCAGUUAUUCAUGAGUGAAUACAUAGCUCAUGUAAAGGUAACGCAGAGAACUGAAACAUCUAAGUACCUGCAGGAAGAGAAAGUAAAAAC
rnacentral:rRNA from 1 species